rnacentral:rRNA from 1 species
GACGAACGCUGGCGGCGUGCUUAACACAUGCAAGUCGAACGGAAAGGCCCUGCUUUUGUGGGGUGCUCGAGUGGCGAACGGGUGAGUAACACGUGUGUAACCUGCCCUUGACUUUGGGAUAACUUCAGGAAACUGGGGCUAAUACCGGAUAGGAGCUCCUGCUGCAUGGUGGGGGGUGGAAAGUUUCGGCGGUUGGGGAUGGACUCGCGGCUUAUCAGCUUGUUGGUGGGGUAGUGGCUUACCAAGGCUUUGACGGGUAGCCGGCCUGAGAGGGUGGCCGGCCACAUUGGGACUGAGGUACGGCCCAGACUCCUACGGGGGGCAGCAGUGGGGAAUAUUGCACAAUGGGCGGACGCGUGAUGCGGCAGCGCCGCGUGCGGGAUGACGGCCUUCGGGUUGUAAACCGCUUUCGCCUGUGACGAAGCGUGAGUGACGGUAAUGGGUAAAGAAGCACCGGCUAACUACGUG